UACGUAGGGUCCGAGCGUUGUCCGGAAUUAUUGGGCGUAAAGGGCUCGUAGGCGGUUCGUCACGUCGGGAGUGAAAACUCGGGGCUUAACCCCGAGCCUGCUUCCGAUACGGGCAGACUAGAGGUAGGCAGGGGAGAGCGGAACUCCUGGUGUAGCGGUGGAAUGCGCAGAUAUCAGGAAGAACACCGGUGGCGAAGGCGGCUCUCUGGGCCUUACCUGACGCUGAGGAGCGAAGGCGUGGGUAGCGAACAGG
rnacentral:rRNA from 1 species